rnacentral:misc_RNA from 1 species
GGGGUAUGUUUGGCUUUUGAUUGCUUGCCUGGUGUUUGUGCCGUGCAGGUGGUUUUUAGUCGGAUGUUCUUCGGGGAUGUUGAUCGUAAAGGUGCAUGAGUGGUGUUUGGUUUGUUACGGGUGGUUGGAUGUCUGUUUGUGCAGCAACUUCCACGCGUUCAUACCUCUUCAGUUGUGCUACAAGGCUUUAUCUGUCUUGUGCAUAUGUGGUUUCUGUGUUGUAUACCUGAUGAAGGGCAUACUGUGGCUAGAUCAAAGUUCAUUUCGUGAUCCGUCAUUUGCGGCGUUGAACGAACCUUGAAGCGGUCUUUAUGGUCCAAGUUGUUGUUGCCUUGGCAAUGAUGGUAUGGCCUAUGGAGUAUCGUUUGGUUUCCUGAAUAUGGAACAUUAUGUGGGUUGUAGUGUCUUCAUUGAUCCUAUUUUUGCCCUCGUAUAGCGGGUUCGCUUCUCCAAACGAUCGCCCACCAUGUGUCGGCAUAUCCGUGCAUGGUGAGUUGUGUCGAAGAGGAAUGC